AUUAGCUAGUUGGUAGGGUAAUGGCCUACCAAGRCUAMGAUGGRWAGCUGGUCUGAGAGGAUGAUCAGCCACACUGGAAMUGAGACACGGUCCAGACUCYUACGGGAGGCAGCAGUGGGGAAWUUUGCGCAAUGGGGGAAACMCUGACGCAGCAACGCCGCGUGAGUGAUGAAGGCUUUCGGGUCGUAAAGCUCUGUCAGAGGGGAAGAAAUGGGUCUGGCUAAUAUCCAGAUUCCUUGACGGUACCCUCAAAGGAAGCACCGGCUAACUCCGWGCCAGCAGCCGCGGUAAUACAAGG
rnacentral:rRNA from 1 species